rnacentral:rRNA from 1 species
UACGGGGGGAGCAAGCGUUGUUCGGAUUUACUGGGCGUAAAGGGCGCGUAGGCGGUAGCACAAGUCAGUUGUGAAAUCUCCGGGCUUAACUCGGAAAGGUCAACUGAUACUGUGCGACUAGAGUGCAGAAGGGGCAACUGGAAUUCUCGGUGUAGCGGUGAAAUGCGCAGAUAUCGAGAGGAACACCAGUGGCGAAGGCGAGUCCCUGGACAACACCUGACACUGAGGCACGAAAGCUAGGGGAGCAAACAGG